rnacentral:lncRNA from 10 species
CCUAUGGUCUCAACUAAUUAAAGGAAGAAAAGCAAUGCAUGUGUGUGUGUAAUUUUAAAGAAACUAUGCUGUCUUAUAGAAAACCAAACCAUCAUUUUUAUCUUUUGUACCAGGUAUUCAAGUAUGUUUUGAGCACCGACGGGCUGUGAACUGGACUGUGCUGAAAGCUCCUCUCCCUCUUCUCUCUUUAAGCCCUUUAUAUUUGACAUCAGCUUCCCCCACAUUCUCCAAAGCUUCUCUCACAAAUAAAGCCAGGUGCUCAGGCUGAGAAGAUUCAAGGAAAGGGUUCCUCACGUAGUUAUACAGUUGUGUUCCAGGGGAAGGAAAAUAUUGUUCGGUUUUGUUCUGCAAUUCCCCACGGUGGUUUUCGGUAAGACUUGAGACUUCCUUAUUCUAAAGUCCAAGCAGCAGUGGAAACAUUUCAAGAUCCCUUUUUGCAAUAUAACUUUUCCAAAGAUUCAAUAUUUAUUUAAACCCAAAAAUCUUGUCACUCGAAGUAAAAC